AGAGUUUGAUCCUGGCUCAGAACGAACGCUGGCGGCGUGGAUAAGACAUGCAAGUCGAGCGAGAUUUUUCGUUGUAGCAAUACGAUGGAAAGUCUAGCGGCGAACGGGUGCUUAACACGUGGGCAACCUGCCAUGAAGUGGGGGAUAGCUCGCCGAAAGGCGAAUUAAUACCGCAUGUGAUUAGAGAGGACAUCCUUUCGAAAUUAAAGUCGGGGCAACCUGACGCUUCUUGUGGGGCCCGCGGCCUAUCAGCUAGUUGGUGAGGUAACGGCUCACCAAGGCUUUGACGGGUAGCUGGUCUGAGAGGACGACCAGCCACACUGGGACUGAGACACGGCCCAGACACCUACGGGUGGCAGCAGUCGAGAAUUUUUGACAAUGGGGGAAACCCUGAUCGAGCGACGCCGCGUGGAGGAUGAAGGUCUUCGGAUUGUAAACUCCUGUCAUUGGGGAACAAGGUGCAUACGUUAACUGCGUGUGCAUUGAUAGUACCCGAAGAGGAAGAGACGGCUAACUCUGUGCCAGCAGCCGCGGUAAUACAGAGGUCUCAAGCGUUGUUCGGAUUCAUUGGGCGUAAAGGGUGCGUAGGCGGCGCGGUAAGUCGGGUGUGAAAUCUCGGAGCUUAACUCCGAAACUGCAUUCGAUACUGCCGUGCUUGAGGACUGGAGAGGAGACUGGAAUUUACGGUGUAGCGGUGAAAUGCGUAGAUAUCGUAAGGAAGACCAGUGGCGAAGGCGGGUCUCUGGACAGUUCCUGACGCUGAGGCACGAAGGCCAGGGGAGCAAACGGGAUUAGAUACCCCGGUAGUCC
rnacentral:rRNA from 1 species